GGCCCAAUGGUCUAGUAGUAUGAUUCGCGCUUCGGGCUAAGCAAAGCAAGCUGCGCGAGGUCCCGGGUUCAAUUCCCGGUUGGGCCC